rnacentral:rRNA from 1 species
CCUACGGGUGGCAGCAGUGGGGAAUAUUGGUCAAUGGACGAGAGUCUGAACCAGCCAAGUAGCGUGAAGGAUGACUGCCCUAUGGGUUGUAAACUUCUUUUAUAUGGGAAUAAAACGUUCCACGUGUGGGAUUUUGUAUGUACCAUAUGAAUAAGGAUCGGCUAACUCCGUGCCAGCAGCCGCGGUAAUACGGAGGAUCCGAGCGUUAUCCGGAUUUAUUGGGUUUAAAGGGAGCGUAGGUGGAUUGUUAAGUCAGUUGUGAAAGUUUGCGGCUCAACCGUAAAAUUGCAGUUGAAACUGGCAGUCUUGAGUACAGUAGAGGUGGGCGGAAUUCGUGGUGUAGCGGUGAAAUGCUUAGAUAUCACGAAGAACUCCGAUUGCGAAGGCAGUUCACUGGACUGCAACUGACACUGAGGCUCGAAAGUGUGGGUAUCAAACAGGAUUAGAUACCCCUGUAGUC